rnacentral:lncRNA from 1 species
UUGCCAUAGGCUCUGGAGAGGAGAUGCAGUGUGUUUGUCUGGAGGUUUGACAGAAUCCAGUCUUCCAAACCGGGAGAAAAUGGUGAACGUCCUGAAAGGAGUGCUUAUUGAAUGUGCUAUUAAUACGAUGUGAAGAGUCUCGUGCUGUCACGCAAAGAGAUCAGACUCAUGGCUGUCGAAGGCAGCGGAAGGAGAUCAUCUGUGGAAUGAUUAUCACUGGCUCGAACUGUGCAGACAGAGCAACUAAACACCACUGAUCAAUUGGGCCAUGUGGAAAUUGCAGACGGAGUAUGGCGCUUACUGCCCCAGAGCCUGGGUGUGAUGUGAUGUAGGGAGUUGCUUUGGGAUGAUCACCCAGAGCUGAUUCCUGCAAAAAUGUAUGGUUUCUUCAGUCUACUUAUUGGUUCUGUUUUGUUGGUAAAAUAUAACUUUGAAUAAAAUGGCCUACAUUUGCAUUUCUGUCUACAGAAUUAAAAAUAAAUUAAGAACAGAGUCGGAUGUGCU